rnacentral:lncRNA from 1 species
UUGCUUCUGAUGUCUUCUCUUACUGAAAGGAAUCGAAGGGCCGAGGAAUGUGUUUUUCGUUGAUGUCAACUUGCUGCAAAGGACCACACCUGCUUCUCGACCCAGGAACGUGGGAAAGGGAAAGGCAUGGCUUGUUUUGGUGGAGAUGGAGAUGCUGGUAACAGUGGAGGAAUGCCCUCCUUCUGAUUCACAGUGGGGAGGUGCUCUGGGCCCCUGCCACUGCCCAAGGACUUCAGGUAAGUCAGCUCGUGGCCCCUAGCCCUUCCCCGCCAGACGCCCUGGCAGACGGCUUGUUCUGACAAGUAUGCGCUUUCUG